UACGAAGGGGGCUAGCGUUGUUCGGAAUUACUGGGCGUAAAGCGCGCGCAGGCGGUUUUCCAAGUCAGUGGUGAAAGCCCGGAGCUCAACUCCGGAAUUGCCAUUGAAACUGCAAAACUUGAGUACGAGAGAGGUGAGUGGAAUUCCCAGUGUAGAGGUGAAAUUCGUAGAUAUUGGGAAGAACACCGGUGGCGAAGGCGGCUCACUGGCUCGUAACUGACGCUCAGGCGCGAUAGCGUGGGGAUCAAACAGG
rnacentral:rRNA from 1 species